rnacentral:rRNA from 1 species
AUACGGAGGGUGCAAGCGUUGUUCGGAAUCACUGGGCGUAAAGGGCGCGCAGGCGGUUUUACAAGUCAGAUGUGAAAGCCCACGGCUUAACCGUGGAAGUGCGUUUGAAACUGUAAGACUUGAGUAUCAGAGGGGAAGGUGGAAUUCCCGGUGUAGAGGUGAAAUUCGUAGAUAUCGGGAGGAAUACCGGUGGCGAAGGCGACUUUCUGGCUGAAUACUGACGCUGAGGCGCGAAAGCGUGGGGAGCAAACAGCAUUAGAAACCCCGGUAGUCC